AGGAGUGGGUGGGCGGCUGACGGCUCAUCAGAGCUGAGGAAAUUCCCCCCUCAUUUCUGGGUCAGGGGUGUAACAACCGGGGCGAGAGUCCCGACGGCAGGCGCAGAAACGGCACAGCCCAUGACGAGAAUGAUUUCCUGAGAAUGACGCUGUCAUGGGAUAUGGUGAAACGGCCGCCGCCCUGGAGC
rnacentral:RNase_P_RNA from 1 species